UAAAAUAAAUCAGUAAAAUAUAAAUGCCAAAAAUAUCUUCACCUUCCAACAAAUGCCUUUACUAAGACCAUUUUCAUAAAUAUAU
rnacentral:sRNA from 12 species